AGCGAACGCUGGCGGCAGGCUUAACACAUGCAAGUCGAGCGGGCACUUUCGGGUUUCAGCGGCGGACGGGUGAGUAACGCGUGGGAACGUGCCCUCUGGUUCGGAAUAACUCAGGGAAACUUGAGCUAAUACCGGAUACGCCCUUUUGGGGAAAGGCUUGCUGCCGGAGGAUCGGCCCGCGUCUGAUUAGCUAGUUGGUGAGGUAACGGCUCACCAAGGCGACGAUCAGUAGCUGGUCUGAGAGGAUGAUCAGCCACACUGGGACUGAGACACGGCCCAGACUCCUACGGGAGGCAGCAGUGGGGAAUAUUGGACAAUGGGCGCAAGCCUGAUCCAGCCAUGCCGCGUGAGUGAUGAAGGCCUUAGGGUUGUAAAGCUCUUUUAGCCGGGACGAUAAUGACGGUACCGGAGGAAUAAGCCCCGGCUAACUUCGU
rnacentral:rRNA from 1 species